UGACAGUACUCCUACGGGGAGGCAGCAGUGGGGGAAUAUUGCACAAUGGGCGCAAGCCUGAUGCAGCCAUGCCGCGUGUAUGAAGAAGGCCUUCGGGUUGUAAAGUACUUUCAGCAGUGAGGAAGGUGGGGUAUGGUUAAUAGCAUACUCAUUUGACGUUAGCUGCAGAAGAAGCACCGGCUAACUCCGUGCCAGCAGCCGCGGUAAUACGGAGGGUGCGAGCGUUAAUCGGAAUUACUGGGCGUAAAGCGCAUGCAGGUGGUUUGUUAAGUCAGAUGUGAAAGCCCGGGGCUCAACCUCGGAAUUGCAUUUGAAACUGGCAAACUAGAGUACUGUAGAGGGGGGUAGGAAUUUCAGGUGUAGCGGUGAAAUGCGUAGAGAUCUGAAGGAAUACCGGUGGCGAAGGCGGCCCCCUGGACAGAUACUGACACUCAGAUGCGAAAGCGUGGGGAGCAAACAGGAUUAGAUACCCUGGUAG
rnacentral:rRNA from 1 species